UGAGCAACCUACCGAACUGUGGGGGAUAGCCGGCCUAACGGCCGAGUAAUACCGCAUACGCUCUCAGUGAGGCAUUUCAUUGAGAGGAAACCUACGGGACAGAUCGAGGGGCUCGCGGCCUAUCAGCUAGUUGGCGGGGUAACGGCUCACCAAGGCAACGACGGGUAGCUGGUCUGAGAGGAUGGCCAGCCACAUUGGGACUGAGAUACGGCCCAG
rnacentral:rRNA from 1 species